UACGUAGGGUGCGAGCGUUGUCCGGAAUUAUUGGGCGUAAAGAGCUUGUAGGCGGUCUGUCGCGUCUGCUGUGAAAAUCCGGGGCUCAACCCCGGACUUGCAGUGGGUACGGGCAGACUAGAGUGUGGUAGGGGAGACUGGAAUUCCUGGUGUAGCGGUGAAAUGCGCAGAUAUCAGGAGGAACACCGGUGGCGAAGGCAGGUCUCUGGGCCGCUACUGACGCUGAGGAGCGAAAGCAUGGGGAGCGAACAGG
rnacentral:rRNA from 1 species